CUAGCUUUCGGUCAGCAUUCUAGUGGCUCCCAGUUCUGGCAGGCGGUGAUUCAGCUAUUACCCGUGCUCUGCAUCGGCACGUCCAUCUCGGUUGGCUCCAGGUCCUCGACCCUGUUCUUGUUCGAUCGCUGGUUAGGGGACUCCCCCCUGGCCGCUCGAUUCUCGGAUCUAUUCGCCACAGCGGUCGACCCUCGGGUCUCUGUCGAGACGGCCCUUAUUGACUUAGGGUGUCUUGCUUUCCGGUGCCCCUUUGGUCCCCUUGAGGUUGCCGCUUGGGACCCCCUCGUCUAGGACAUCGCUCUUCUUCUGAUGGACGUCGAGGGUGCCCCUGACUCCAUCUCUUGGCGACUGGAGCCAUCCGGCCGCUUCUACACUAAGUCCUUAUACACGGCCAUCGCACCCUCGUCGGCCCCUGAGCCCUUUAGCCUGAUCUAGGACAUUCGCCUUCCUCUGAAGAUCAGGAUCUUCCUGUGGCAGUGA
rnacentral:rRNA from 1 species